GCGGGAAUGGCGGAAUUGGUAGACGCACUGGAUUUAGGUUCCAGCGCCGCGAGGCGUGAGAGUUCGAGUCUCUCUUUCCGCA
rnacentral:tRNA from 2 species